UUUUGAGGACUUCUUCUCAUAAUCGUAUAGGGCUCAAUUGCGACUAUCAAACUAGAUGGACUCAUAUGCUAUUAUUAAAAGGUAAGUUUUUCUAUAAAAGAGGUCCCGCUCCUCUUCUCGACCCUCCACUUUCUCGAUCCAAAACUUCAGUUCUGUGUACCGUUAGGGUUCAUCAGAUUUCUCCAUUAAACCCUUAUCAAGUUCAGUUACUCUCUAAAUCAGCUGUAAGUAUUCACUUUCAUACAUUCCCUGUACAUGUCUACUUGUACAUUGGGCAUUUGGGGUUGUACUUUUACUCGUUUAAUGCUGCCUAAUACCUAGGGUUUUAUUAAUUACCAAGUGGGGUACAUGAAUCGUUGAGCUCUAUAAUUUUUUAUUUUUUUUUGAAGAAUUCACUGAUAAUACCUAGGGUUUCAUUAAUUACCAAGUGGGGUACAUGAAUCGCUGAGCUCUAUAUAUUUUUUUUUUGAAGAAUUCACUGAUUCUUUGUUCUGGAGUUCUCAUUAACAUCACAAAUUUGUGAUUUUAUUUUUUGGGAAAAGCCAGUAGUUUAAUAAUUCAUGUGUACUUGUACUUUGGGCAAUUGGAGUUGUUCUUUUACUCCUUAAUGCAGCCUAAUACCUAGGUUUUAUGUUGCAACGUAGGGUGUAGAGAUCUUGAACUGCAUAUUGAGUUUCUUGAGAAUUCAGAUUCUUUGGUUCAGCUGCACUUUUGAGUUGUCGGAUUGUUUGUAACAUUGCCAAGUUGUGAACCUUCUCUGUUGAAUACACGAGUUUUAACUGAGUGGUGAGAUUUUUGAGUAAAAGAAACCCUAAAUGAUUCAAGAAUUUGAACAUGA
rnacentral:lncRNA from 1 species